UUUAACGAGAGUUUGAUCCUGGCUCAGGAUGAACGCUGGCGGCGUGCCUAACACAUGCAAGUCGAGCGAAGCACUUUGCUUAGAUUCUUCGGAUGAAGAGGAUUGUGACUGAGCGGCGGACGGGUGAGUAACGCGUGGGUAACCUGCCUCAUACAGGGGGAUAACAGUUAGAAAUGACUGCUAAUACCGCAUAAGACCACAGCACCGCAUGGUGCAGGGGUAAAAACUCCGGUGGUAUGAGAUGGACCCGCGUCUGAUUAGCUAGUUGGUAAGGUAACGGCUUACCAAGGCGACGAUCAGUAGCCGACCUGAGAGGGUGACCGGCCACAUUGGGACUGAGACACGGCC
rnacentral:rRNA from 1 species